GGAAGGAUCAUUAACAAAUACCCUUUGUAAAACCCAAACUGUGAACUGUUUUCGUCCAUGAAAUUAGAGAGAGCAUAGUAUUAGAAACUAUGGCAGUGAGGUCAGCAAUGACUUGAUUCUAAUGCUUCUCGCAAGAGGUAGCUCUCUAAUUUUAUGUAGCACUGUCGGAUACUUUACUGUAUCUGUCUUAUUAUUUUACCCCUUUGUAACAAUUGUACUAAUCCCACUUUGUGGUUCUUAUGAAAGUAAGAAACCCUAAAAUACAACUCUUAGCAACGGAUAUCUUGGCUCUCGUAUCGAUGAAGAACGCAGCGAACUGCGAUACGUAAUGCGAAUUGCAGAAUUCAGUGAAUCAUCAAAUCUUUGAACGCACAUUGCGCUUUUGGGAUAUGCCUGAAAGCAUGCCUCUUUGAGUGUCGUUUCAAACCCAACUCGACUUUUUGUCGGAUAAUGCAAGUCUUGCUUCAGUGUAAGCAAGUCUUGUUAAGUUCAGAGAACUCACUGAUCCUUCAGUAAAAACAUGAGACUUGUGCUCAUCUAGUACUGAUGUAUGAUAUUUGACUUCGGUCAUUACCUUUGUACAUCCCGGUGCUAGGAGUGCUUGAUUUGUGUGAAGGAUCUAUGAGUGAGUCAGGAAUGACUUUCUUUCUUGAAUUUGACCUCAAAUGAAGCAGGAUUACCCGCCGAAUUUAAGCAUAUUAUUAAGCGGAGGAAAAGAAACUAACAAGGAUUCCCCUAGUAACGGCGAGUGAAGCGGGAAUAGCUCAACCUGAAAAUCGGUGUGCUCUGUACAUCGAAUUGUGGGCUUGAGACUGGACAUCAGCGUGCGACCUGGGUAUAAAUCCUUUGGAAUAGGGUAUCAUAGAGGGUGAGAAUCCCGUCUUUGACUCAGAGUUCGCCGCGUACGAUUCCAGCUCCUAGAGUCGAAUAGCUUGGGAAUGCUGUUCUAAGUAGGUGGUAAAUUUCAUCUAAAGCUAAAUAUCGACGAGAGACCGAUAGCGAACAAGUACCGCGAGGGAAAGAUGAAAAGAACUUUGAAAAGAGAGUUAAAAAGUACUUGAAAUUGCUAAGAGGGAAGCACUGGAAACCAGUAAUGCUUGGGUCUAUAUUUCCCGUUUGCUUGUGUAGGGUGGUUUGCUCAGAUCGCAAGACUGGGUGGAUUAUCUGAAAUAGGUAGGCGGUGUCUGUGGGCUUGAGUGAGUCAAGAUCAGUUAGGGCGGUGAGAGAAAGCUGACGGGAAGGUAGCUAAUUGGUUUCUUCGGGAGUCAAUUAGAACUUAUAGCCUGUUGGCCCUAUCAUGGCUUUGACUGAGGCUUUAAUCUGCGCCUUUGGCAGCUUUUACUGAUCUCUGCUGUUUGGCUUGCUUGGGAGAACAAAGUUCUGCCGGUGAGUUCAGGUGGUACUGGGUUGGAUAAAAGACUUGCAGAUUCGAGAUCUUGACGAAAUGGUUUUCAUUGACCCGUCUUGAAACACGGACCAAGGAGUCUAACAUAUAUGCGAGUAUUUGGGUGUUAAAACCCUGAUGCGUAAUGAAAGUGAAGGUCAACAUUGGUUGACUGAGGGAGGAAUCGUAGUUAACAGCUGCGAGGCACUCUCGACCGAUCUAUCGUUUACGAAAGAUUUGAGUAAGAGCAUAUCUGUUGGGACCCGAAAGAUGGUGAACUAUGCCUGUGCAGGGCGAGGCCAGGGGAAACUCUGGUGGAGGCUCGUAGCGAUACUGACGUGCAAAUCGUUCGUCUGACAUGGGUAUAGGGGCGAAAGACUAAUCGAACCAUUUAGUAGCUGGUUCCCUC
rnacentral:misc_RNA from 1 species